ACUCCUACGGGAGGCAGCAGUGAGGAAUCUUCCACAAUGGGCGAAAGCCUGAUGGAGCGACACCGCGUGAAGGAUGAAGCCUUUGUUGGUGUAAACUUCUUUUCUCUGGGAAGAUAAUGACGGUACCAGAGGAAUAAGGGGCGGCAAACUUCGUGCCAGCAGCCGCGGUAAUACGAAGGCCCCAAGCGUUAUCCGGAAUUACUGGGCGUAAAGCGUCUGUAGGUGGUUCGGAAAGUUUCAAGUGAAAGGUCAGGGCUCAACCCUGUACUUGCUUGGAAAACUAUCGAACUUGAGUGCGGGAGAGGCAAGCAGAACUGUAUGAGUAGGGGUGCAAUCCGUUGAUACAUACAAGAAUACCAAAAGCGAAGGCAGCUUGCUGGAACGCCACUGACACUGAGAGACGAAAGCGUGGGGAGCAAAAGGGAUUAGAUACCCCUGUAGUCCACGCCCUAAACGAUGGAUGCUAAGUGUUGGACUUCGGUUCAGUGCUUCAAGCUAACGCAUUAAGCAUCCCGCCUGAGGAGUACGGCCGCAAGGUUAAAACUCAAAUGAAUAGACGGGGACCCGCACAAGC
rnacentral:rRNA from 1 species